CCCUUUCCCGCGGAUCCUCCGAAUCGAAGAGCUCCAACAGUUGCAGGACAAACUUCUGAUCUAUGUAACGCCGCGCAAUGGAAGGCUGAAAAUCUUGAGACUCGAGUAGUCGGAGAAAAAAUUCGUAAACCAACUGCAGAUGCGGCCAAGCUGCUUCCAGAGUCGGUUCAUCCUCCUCUGGAUCGAACUCGGCGGCGUUCGGAUUCGACGACGGAGGAAGCGUACGGAAGAGGUUCACUGCGAACUAGAAACCACCCGUUACAAAUCAUUCUUUCUUAUUCGUCGAGAAUGAUAAGAGUGCCCCGAUCUUACCAUGUUCACCGCUUCGGGGUAUAUAGCCUCCGUGAUCACGUUUUUGUUCUUGGUAACGUACUCGACCAUCUCGUACAAGGCGGUACGUUUGACUUCCUUCCAUUUUAAGUCCGAUAAAGGGUCAGACUCGAAAUCAAAGAGAACGCAACAUUGUCGCAGUUUCUGUAUAAAAAGUUCCUCCCGUUCGUUCCCUUGUUGCGUUUCUAAAACGAGGAAAAGAAGAAAACGCUAUUCAUAUUGGACAAAACGAACCUGGACGUCGAGACUCAUACACAAUUUAUAUAGCAAAUACAAAGGCGGCAAGAAAAUACUCAUCGGACUGUGUAAAAGAACUCCUUAGAAACCGUAAUGUUCAAAGGAGGAAGGCGGUCUUCCGAAAAUUCGUUACCAAUUAAUAGAGGUCGUAGCGGCUGAUAAUGCGAAGUAAAGUUGGACAAAUAAGUCUUAUUCGGUUCCCGCGAGAGGACCGUGGCUAAGGCGAGGCCCUGAUGGAAGCUUGGACUUUUCGGCAAGCCGCCGGAUGCGAAAGGAUAUCCGUCCACGUGAACCAUUUUGCUUUCGAGAAGGCUGUCGAAACGAUUCUCGCCCGAAAACUUGCUAUUUCUUCGUCUAAUCUAUUAGAGCGAAAGCGUAAUAAUGUUUUCCCAGGAAAACAGCUACACUUACCACUCCCUGAAACUACUAUCACUAGGGAAAAUUAGUGGAGAACAACCAAUACUAGCGGAGCGAUUACAGAUGACCCCGAGUUGUUACAGACUGAUCCUCGAUUUUUAUACUAAAUAAUUUGUUUAUAUUACAUCGAUGCCGUAUACGCUUGCUUAUGCUACCGUUAGUGUAUCUUUACUUUCAUAUGUAUACAUAUAUGAGAGCUGGAGAUGCAGUCAAGAAGUUGUAAUCUGUAACAUAAUAUUACUAUCAAGUAAUACAGCAAAUUUGUUUUACUAUUUGAAAAA